AAUGGCCUACCAAGGCUAUGACGGUUAGGGGACCUGAGAGGGUGGCCCCCCACAAUGGAACUGAAACACGGUCCAUACACCUACGGGUGGCAGCAGUAGGGAAUAUUGGUAAUCUGCGAAAGCGGGAACCAGCAACGCCGCGUGUGCGAAGAAGGCCUUCGGGUUGUAAAGCACUUUUCGGGAGGAAGAGGAAGGACUGUACUCCCGGAAUAAGUCUCGGCUAACUACGUGCCAGCAGCCGCGGUAAUACGUAGGAGGCAAACGUUAUCCGGAUUUACUGGGCGUAAAGCGCGUGCAGGCGGUCUGGUAAGUUGGACGUGAAAGCUCCCGGCUCAACUGGGAGAGGUCGUUCAAUACUGUCAGACUUGAGGAUGGUAGAGGGAGGUGGAAUUCCAGGUGUAGUGGUGAAAUGCGCAGAUAUCUGGAGGAACACCAGUGGCGAAAGCGGCCUCCUGGACCAUUCCUGACGCUCAGACGCGAAAGCUAGGGUAGCAAACGGGAUUAGAGACCCCGGU
rnacentral:rRNA from 1 species